rnacentral:tRNA from 1 species
GCCUUGGUGGUUCAAACGUUAAUGUGCUUGGCUGCUAACCAGAAGGUUGGAGGUUCAAGUCCAUCCAAAGGCG